AAGUUUGAUCGUGGCUCAGGACGAACGCUGGCGGCGUGCUUAACACAUGCAAGUGGUGCGACGAACCAGGGCUUGCCCUGGGCAAAGCCGCGAACGGGUGAGUAACACGUGGGUAACCUGCCCCGAUGACUGGGACAACCCGAGGAAACUCGGGCUAAUACCGGAUGACGUGCCGAGCUUUAAGGCUCUGUACUAAAGGAAGCUUCGGCCUCCGCAUUGGGAGGGGCCCGCGGCCCAUUAGCUUGUUGGUGAGGUAACGGCUCACCAAGGCAACGAUGGGUAGCUGGUCUGAGAGGACGAUCAGCCACACUGGGACUGAGACACGGCCCAGACUCCUACGGGAGGCAGCAGUGGGGAAUCUUGCGCAAUGCGCGAAAGCGUGACGCAGCAACGCCGCGUGGGGGAA
rnacentral:rRNA from 1 species